UGAGCCAUCCAGUUCUUUUACGAUCUUGGGGCACAAUCUUGACUUAGGUUUGCCUUUGCUGUCUAAAAAAUUUGAUUCUUAUGCUUUUUAUGAUAUAUAUUUGAUGAUUGGACCUUCCUUGUCAAUUAGCUUUGCAAAUAGACUAUAUGAGUAUUCAUUACUAAAAAUUUUUUUUCGGAGAAAUUCAUUCAUUUCGGUUAUUUCUCAAAAAGAAAAUGAAGAAAACAGAGGGUCCUUUUUUUCUUAAGCUUGAAAGAAAGGACUCUUUUGAAACACAAGGGAGAGUUCAUUUUCUCUCGCUUUUGGCAUAGUGGGCCCCAGUGGGAGGCUCGCAUGACGGGCUAUUAGCUCAAGAGCUCUCUAUCUAAGACCUUCUAAUUGAGAUAUGAAUCUACACUAGGUUGUACAAAAAAAGCUACACCUUUCGCUUGGUUGUGCUAUCAUUUUCUUGUUUAUACUGUAAAUAGUUAGAUGCAUGCUAUUGAAGCAACUAUUAAUAUGAAAUUCACCAGAUUGCCUAUUGCACAAAUAAACUGCAAUCAAAGUGUAUCAAAAGCAAUUCCAUUGGUUUUUUUUUUUUUUUGUAGUAGUAUUGAAUACAUUGCUUCAUUUAUUUCCAUCGAUGCAUUUGUUGACGUCAAAACUUGCUAAUCACGAUUUUGAGCCAACUUUUAAGAAGACAAGCACUUUUUCUUGAUAAUGGAGGUUAUAAGUAUUAUUAUUAUUAUUAUUUUUUUUUUUGGGAGUGAAUUGCCUUUUUAUAUAAUUAUUGUUGUGGUCCCUUGUCCCCUCAGGGCUACUGAGGUGAAUAUUCGGCUUUAAACUUCAGUGCUUCGUGGAAUUAGUAGAGGUGUGCGUAAGUUGCCCCGGACAAUCAUGGUAAAAAAAAAUAAUAAUAAUAAAUAAAUUUAUUGUUGUGGCCCUUGGAGGGGACCAUCAUUUUCUUUUUAUAGAGUGAAUUAAGUCUAAUUCUUAUGGAAUUAUGUCUUGUCAAUCGGAUCAUUCAUAAUGCUGAGCUUGAUUUGUGUGCCACCGAUCUCUUAUUUGAUUGGCUACUGAGGUCGACUCUCAUUAAAUCGUAAUUAUUCCCUUUUUAUCAAAAAAAUAUAGUCCGCUUCAGGAUAGGUAGCUAUAGUAGCUAAGUCGUGGGUUUGGACGGUGUUGACGUUAUUUCUUCUAAGUGUGUCUGACUGAUUGGGUGAUUGACAAGGUGUAAGGAAUUUGCAAUCAUUAUGUUUAUUAAAAUUACGACGGUCACGAGAUCGAGUUGAGCUUUCAAACCCGACUUGGUAUGUAGAUGAGAUAGGCUGUAAACAUAUUUUAAGUGAGAUCGGGGAUCAAUGGUCAACAGCAUUCAUGCGUCAGUAAGGGAUAUAUUUCUACAGUUCCAGAUAAGUUUGUUUUGAGUUUUAGGCUACUGAACCUGAGCAAUAAGGCAGCUAUUUAUAUUAGUAUGUGACAGUGAUGUUUAUUAUUAUUAUUUUUUUGUUAGUAUAAAUUUUCUUGCUACGUUUCCACUAAUAGAAAUUUUCAAUUUGCAAAAAUGGGAACUGGGUUUAACCUGGAAAAGCUCACCACUUUACGUGAUUUAUUCGAUUUAAUUUAGGUCCAUUUCAUUUGUG
rnacentral:lncRNA from 1 species